GCCUGACCUCCCCAUGUGGGGACCAGCUGCUGUCCAUAUCUCCUGUGGCCUGGGCAUGGGCUGUGUUCCAGCUGCAGGGUCCAGCUAGAGCCUGGGGCAGGAGCAGUAGCUCCAGGAGCUCCAGGUGCAUCAAUCCAUCUCAUGCUUUUGAAGAACAAGUCUUUUCUGCUGUCUUCAGAGGGACCCUACCAUUCUCCUUUGAAGCCAAGCCAAGAGCAUGAAGCGGUGAAGCUUACGGUUCAUGCCUGCUGUGGUAUAGAGAAGAGGAGAAAAAGGGCUGGCAGGACGGAGCCAGACCCUUUCUCUAGGAGGCUUCAGGCGACCAGGAAACCAGGUGGACGGGUACGGACUGCUUCUUCCUCUGCGGCAGGAGGGUUUUGCAGAGGAUUCUGCUGGUUGAGAAGUGGUCACUCACUCCAGAAAGAACCGCUUCCAUCAGAUGCUGUGCAGCUCUGCUGAGUGUUGUGCCAGCCUCAAGAGUCAUGUCACGGUGGCCACCCGGAUCCUGGGACUGGGACUGGAGGCUGGACAACAGCAGGGCGCUGCAGAAGAUUGCUUUCUCCGAAGAGAGGACAUCUCUUCCCCUCUGUCUCUCACCCCACCCUUCAGUGACCAGGGGAUUUCACCUCUUUGGGGGCUGGGUUCUUCAUUUUUGACUGUCCUACACAGAGAGGGUCUCCAGGCCUGAAGUCACAUGUCACCUAGAACUCAGGUUAGCAAAGCUUCCUUGCUCAGUGUUGCACGUUGUCUUUCAGUUAGACUUGCACUGAAUUUCAGUUUACCAACACGAACAACCCCACUGAGGAAACGAGCACAGAGUUUGUAUAUUCUGUCCUAUCCCGCAGAGAAUCUAUGGCAGGAACAUCAGCAAUAGCAGUCCCCGAGCCCCAGAGCCUGUCAUACAUCUCCAGCUUAUGAUCUGUGGGGCCCAUGGCUGUAUCAGCAGAGGGGAAGCAAGGAAUGGAAGCAGAAAAGGAAGCAUGAACGUGCACUUGUAAAGAUAAGGCACAGAGGAAUGUGUGCAUCUUGGGGCUCAGGUAAAAAGUGGUCCAGAAUCAGAGAUGCUGAGGAGAAAACUAGGGGUGUCUGAGAGUGGUUCUCCUCAGCUGCUCUGUCCUGUCGCUUCUUGCAUUGGGCACACAGGGUCACUAUUCUCUCUCCGAGACUCCAUCCUUACCAUUGCCCUGGAGGGGCAUGUUUCCUCACAAAGAAAGGUGACCUCACCCACGGGCACCAAGCCAUGUGUGAUCCGUGUGCCCCUGAUGCUGACUUUAGCCCUGGCCCCUCAACCACCUCCCUUCUUGUCUGAUGUAAGAGUGUUUCCAAGAAGAAUACUGUGUGCCCGAUAGACACUGUGGGUUCAGGACUAGGCAUGUCCACGUUGAAUUUUUGUGAUGCUUUAACCAGGAACGGAGGGCUCUUGCUGCUGUCCUCAGAGGUUAGCUUGUUUUGAGGGCUCCAGCUUCUCUGUGGUGGCCUGGAUGGGCAUCGUGGUUACAAAGGAGAGAUUUGUAGAUGUUGCUUCUGGUUCCUUUUCAUGUUGCUGGGAUGAAGUGCUACGGCAAAACAACUUGAAGGAGUUGCUCUUGAUUCACAAUAGGGAAGUCCUCAGAGCAGAGUAGGUGGCAACGGGCCAAACCGCAUUUUCAGUCAGGAAGCAGAGAGAUGAGCGCUGUUGCCAGGUUCACUGGCUUCCAUUUAUGCAUUGCAGGGCUUAAGCCCAGGGAAUGGUCCCAUGUAUGGUGGGAAGAUCUUCUUAUCUCAACUAAUCUAGCAAACAAGUCAUCCACUAUAGACAUGCCCAGAGAGCCUUGGUCAGGGUUCCUCAGUGGUUGUCACAUCAGGACAGCGAGUGUCAAGUCCUAUGGUCUUUGGUUGGUACUUCUUAUGGCCAGGGUUCCAUGUAUCAUGUACCUGCUGCUAUGGAGAAUGGACAGGGAACCUGGUGAUGGUCCCUGUGGCUAAGGUGCUCCUCUCUCCAUUGUAACGUUAAAGCUUUGGCAGAGUUCAGUUUUCAGAUUAUUCUUAGAUUAUUGGUGUGUGAGAUUCAGGUGACAUGUAUCUUCAAGCAGGUGUUGUGACUGCUCAGGGCUGAGUCUAUGUCAGUUCCUCUUGAGGCAAGUUGCUUCUGUCUGUGAGUCUGGCAGCUGGUUCCUACAUGCUCAGUAUUGAGUGCUUGGGUAGCCUUACUACAUGCUUGUGUGCCUGUGUGCCUGGUCUAUAUGCUAUGUGCAGUGGGCAGCUUAAAACAAGAGUCUUAAAGAGUGGACACGAAAAGCAUGUGACUUGCUGGUGGGGUUUGUUUUGUUCGAAGGACUGAGCUGUGCCAUAGUUUUGUUUUGGUAUCUGAGAUGGCACUCAACUCAAAUGGCAGAAACCUUGGCCCCUACUUGACAGUCUGUAGAAUACCUUCUCACUGGGCCCCCAGCAUCUCUGGUGUCAGGGAAAGUGCGAAACCAUGUACAUCUCAUAGCUGCCAUUGAAGAAUUUCCAGAAAGAUUUCCAGUUAGAGAACCAGGAUCAGACCUGGAAGGAUUUCCUUUGGCUCCAGGUUGAUGUAAAAAUGAGUCCAGGAACCUCAUUCUAAGCUUUUGAUUAACUUCAAUGGGAAGAUUCUAGAUUCUACAUCCUUGACCUUUGCAGAUGGAGACCUGCUCAUGCUUGGGGAGCCCUCUGUCUUUGCCGUGGCUAUCUUGGGCAGGAGUCAUUCCUAGUGCAUUGUGUCUGCACUUUCGCCUGCUGCCCUGCAUGAGGCUUCCAGCCCUGCCACUGUCUGCUGCCAUUCCCUGUGGUGCCAGACAUUGAGCUUCUUGUACGUGGACUGCGUACCAGUGGCCUGUGUUGUUUCUUAUAGCCAAGUGCUCUCCUGGGAGCUGAACUCUGACAUCAAGACUGUGUCAGCACACCUCUGCACUUCUAGAAGGGUCUGUUGGUCUCAUUCAUCUAAGUUCCUAGCUAAGAUGAUGUUCAAUAAAUAUUGAUCACUGGAUGAAAGUUUCUUAUCAGUGCAGCACACUCUAGUGGUUUCUAUUUGGAAAGGAAUUCAACAAAAAUAAACUAAGAAAACCAGUUUGGUUUCACUGUGAGGCCAAAGGCAGCUCAUAGUAGGAUGAGCCAACUGACUUUGGAGAGGCCAUUUCUUUAGCUUGGCUAAGAAGAACAUUCAAUGAAACUUGAGUUUCUCUCAACAAUUCUACUUCCUGUCUUUCUCAUCCUGUUUGAAGAGUAAAUAAGAUAAACCAUUGUCGGCCAUCAUGUAGUGGAUCCAACUCUUUAGAAAGUACUCUCCUACUUUGUUCCCCCUUUUUCUUUUUUCCUGAGAGAG
rnacentral:lncRNA from 1 species